GGUGGGGUGGCCGAGCGGUUUAAGGCGGCAGUCUUGAAAACUGCUGUACGAGCAAUCGUACCGUGAGUUCGAAUCUCACCCCCACCG
rnacentral:tRNA from 1 species